GAAGGGCCCGGAUGAUAGUGGCGAUGGGCUGGAGUUGCCAUCAGCUAAGAUGAGGAAGGCUGAGGACAAAUCAGACUUAUGGAAUGAGAUGGACAUCUCGGUUUUAGAUAUGCUGAAUCUUAAAUACAUACCAAAACAUUUGAGAAGAGAUGACGUUGAGGAAGCAGUGGAAUGAGUGAGUCAAGAAUUCGGUUGACAGGUCUGCACAGUGGAGAAAAAUUUGUGAGUCAUGACCUAGGGAUGGUAUUUAAGGCCAUGAGGUUGCAUGAGAUCACUAAAACGGUGAGUGCUGUUGGAGUAAAACAGACUAAGUCCUAGAGCUGAUGUGUUGCCAGCAGAGGGGACUGAGAAGAUGCAGCCGAGGUAGUAGGAAGACGACCAAGAGGCUCAGGUGGCCUGGAAGCCAAACGAAGAAAGUGUAUUAAGCACGGGAGAGUCAUCUCUAUUACUGAUUGUCAAACAAGAUGGAAAUGUCCGCCUCAAGAAAGAAGCAGAGAGGCACAUCAGGGCUCUAAAUACAUUGAUUCUCAAACUUGGCCGACUUCAAAAUUCCCCACAUACAAAGUCUGGUCAUCUUCAAAAGAAGAUAUUUUGCCCCACCUCUUAUUUAUCUGAAGAAACAAGUACAGUGAAUUAUUCCAAGAACAGCUAGAGUUGCCAUGAGCCUGUAACAGAUGGAAGUCACACCCAGAGCAGAGCGAAGUGGUAAGGACCUGGAGAUAUGGAUGGCAGCACCAUCAGCAUCUGCUCUAUUAUUUAUUCGACAUUAUACGCGCUGUGCUAAAAACUGCAGUUACGAAGUUAAGUAAGAAUGGACUUUCUUUCUUGGAGGAACUCAUAGUCUAGUGGGGAAGCCAGACUUAUAAAUGGACGAUUUCAGUAUAAUAAGUACUCCAUUAGCACAAUGCACAUUUUGAGCAGAGAUGAAUGAAUGAAUCUAGCCUGUGAAGAGGGGGUGGCCAAAGAAGCCUACCUCAAGGCAUGACCCAUAUGCUAAGCCUGUAAGGAAGAGGGAGAGCUAGCCAGACAGAGAAGAUGGUUGAAGAGCAGGCGGGGAAAGGUAUUACAGGCAGAAGAAAUAGCACAAAGGGUAGAGCAAAGCCUGGAAUAACACAGGAGGUGCAAGGGAACCGUGUUCAGAUCCAUAUAUUAACCUGCAGAGUGGGAGGUGGGAGGGAGGCUGGUGAGCUCACAGGUGGCCUUAUGUACUAUGCUGAGUUUGGAAUUCUUUGUAGACAUUGGGAAGUCAUUUAAGAGUCUUACGUUCAUGAUCAGAUUUGCACUUUAGGUCAAUCACCCUGACUGGCUAUCAUCUGUUUCCUGCUAUCACCAGUGACUCUCAUACAUAUGACAUUUUCCCAUGAGUUUAUCCAGUGGUUAUGAGAAAUUACUGGUCAGGGUUUUUUUCCCUACUCAAGAAAACAUGCUAGAAAAUGCAAGUGAGAAGACAUUUUUAUAGGGAUAUGGUACACUGAAAAACUGACCACAGUUCUCUACCCCUCCGUGUAAUCCACGUUCUUUGUAAAGUGACUUUGCUGUUUCUUCCACACGGGGAGUCUGUUUCCUCUACACUUUGAAUCUCAACUGGCUUUGUGCCUUGCUUUGGCCAUCAGAGUGAGGUGGAAGUGACUGUGUGCCGAGGCCACGUGUACUUCUGCUCUCUCCUUGUCUCAACUCCCCUAUAGGAACAGUCCUCACUAGCUUGCUGCAGGAUGAAAGACCAUGCAUGCCAGCCCUGAGUCAGCCCUGUCGUCCAGAUAUGGGAGAGCCCAGCCAAGGGGUGGGCUUUAGCUGACUUAACAGCAGAACAGACACAUGAAAGCAGCAGUCAAGUACAGAAGUGCCUGGCGGAACCCAGCCCAAAUUUCUGACCUGCCGUGAGGGAAAUAAAUGGUUGUUUCAAGCUGCUGAGUUCUGGGGUGGUUGGUUAUCCUGCAAAAACUAACUGGAAGGUUGGAUAAUCCUGCAUCUGCUCUAAUCUAUCAAAGAGUCAAUCAUUUGCAAGCCUUGACACCUUAUCAGUUACAAGUAACAAAGUGCUUCAAACAUGUUGGCAGGUCACAACACAAUGCAAAGGCUGAUAAAGAGCAUUUCUCAAAGUGGACCUUUCUGAAAGGCUUCCGCUUCCGGAAAGAUGGAGCAGACAGGGCUUUUUUAUUCCUCUGAUAAAUACAACCAAAAAUGCUAGACAUUACAUAUAAAACAAAUAAAACUCUGAGAGGUAGACAGAAAGGGCAGACCAGCUAGGGAGCCAUGGGACCUGAGGAAGGACACAAUGGUGCGUGUCCUGGGGUUUCUUUUUGCUUUGUCUAUCCCAGAUUUGGAGCUGAAGAUGCCGGCCAU